rnacentral:rRNA from 1 species
AUUGAACGCUGGCGGCAGGCCUAACACAUGCAAGUCGAGCGGAUGAAGGGAGCUUGCUCCUGGAUUCAGCGGCGGACGGGUGAGUAAUGCCUAGGAAUCUGCCUGGUAGUGGGGGAUAACGUCCGGAAACGGGCGCUAAUACCGCAUACGUCCUGAGGGAGAAAGUGGGGGAUCUUCGGACCUCACGCUAUCGGAUGAGCCUAGGUCGGAUUAGCUAGUUGGUGGGGUAAAGGCCUACCAAGGCGACGAUCCGUAACUGGUCUGAGAGGAUGAUCAGUCACACUGGAACUGAGACACGGUCCAGACUCCUACGGGAGGCAGCAGUGGGGAAUAUUGGACAAUGGGCGGAAGCCUGAUCCAGCCAUGCCGCGUGUGUGAAGAAGGUCUUCGGAUUGUAAAGCACUUUAAGUUGGGAGGAAGGGCAGUAAGUUAAUACCUUGCUGUUUUGACGUUACCAACAGAAUAAGCACCGGCUAACUUCGUG